rnacentral:rRNA from 1 species
UGACCUCAAAUCGGGUGAGACUACCCGCUGAACUUAAGCAUAUCAAUAAGCGGAGGAAAAGAAACUAACAAGGAUUCCCCUAGUAACUGCGAGUGAAGCGGGAAAAGCUCAAAUUUAAAAUCUGGCGGUCCUUGGCUGUC